GAGUUUGAUCGUGGCUCAGAUUGAACGCUGGCGGCAUGCCUUACACAUGCAAGUCGAGCGGCAGCGCGGGGGCAACCCUGGCGGCGAGCGGCGGACGGGUGAGUAAUACAUCGGAACGUGUCCUUUCGUGGGGGAUAACCAGUCGAAAGACUGGCUAAUACCGCAUGAGAUCUCACGAUGAAAGCGGGGGACCGCAAGGCCUCGCGCGAUUGGAGCGGCCGAUGUCGGAUUAGCUAGUUGGCGGGGUAAAAGCCCACCAAGGCGACGAUCCGUAGCUGGUUUGAGAGAACGACCAGCCACACUGGGACUGAGACACGGCCCAGACUCCUACGGGAGGCAGCAGUGGGGAAUUUUGGACAAUGGGGGCAACCCUGAUCCAGCCAUGCCGCGUGUGUGAAGAAGGCC
rnacentral:rRNA from 1 species